rnacentral:rRNA from 1 species
UACAGGGGGGGCAAGCGUUGUUCGGAAUUACUGGGCGUAAAGGGCUUGUAGGUGGCCGGACUAAGUCCGACGUGAAAUCCCCAGGCUUAACCUGGGAACUGCGUCGGAUACUGGUUGGCUUGAAUCCGGGAGAGGGAUGCGGAAUUCCAGGUGUAGCGGUGAAAUGCGUAGAUAUCUGGAGGAACACCGGUGGCGAAGGCGGCAUCCCUGGACCGGCAUUGACCACUG